rnacentral:rRNA from 1 species
UACGUAGGUGGCAAGCGUUGUCCGGAUUUACUGGGCGUAAAGAGCGCGCAGGCGGUCGAGUAAGUCGAAUGUGAAAGCCCCCGGCUUAACUGGGGAGGGUCAUUCGAUACUGUUCGACUUGAAGGCAGGAGAGGGAAGCGGAAUUCCCGGUGUAGUGGUGAAAUGCGUAGAUAUCGGGAGGAACACCAGUGGCGAAGGCGGCUUCCUGGCCUGUUCUUGACGCUGAGGCGCGAAAGCUAGGGGAGCAAACGGG